rnacentral:rRNA from 1 species
UACGAAGGGGGCUAGCGUUGCUCGGAAUGACUGGGCGUAAAGGGCGCGUAGGCGGCUUGCACCGUCAGAUGUGAAAUUCCUGGGCUUAACCUGGGGGCUGCAUUUGAUACGUGUGGGCUUGAGUGCGGAAGAGGGUCGUGGGAUUCCCAGUGUAGAGGUGAAAUUCGUAGAUAUUGGGAGGAACACCUGUGGCGAAGGCGGCCGACUGGGCCGACCCUGACGCUGAGGCGCGAAGGCGUGGGGAGCGAACGGG